CUUGUCUUGAGUCAUCCAUCCUUUAUUAUAAUAUGUAAAAAUAGAAGCGGCAGGGAAUAUUACCCCCAUAUUAGCAUAAGGGAGAUUGAAAUCUCUCAAAUGCCCCUUCUUGCUAUGCUGCGAAUAGGGGCAUGUCUACUAAACAGUGAGCAGCCUGUGUAAAAAAAUCCCCCCCCCCCAUUCCAAUAAAUGGUCCAAUGGUGGGGCAUCUAUUAACUAGCUGGGGAAGGAUCAUAGGGUCCCCCUUGAUCCCCACCUAUAAGCGACAGGUGGGGCCCUAGAUGACCAUGGGAGAGAAGACCUAUUGUCCCACUCCCAGCCCCCACCCAUGAGCGGCGGGUGGGGGUCCUAAAUGACAAUGGGGGGAGACAUAUUGUCCCGGCCCCCACCCAUGUGCAGCGGAUGGGG